CCUACGGGGGGCAGCAGUGGGGAAUUUUGGACAAUGGGCGCAAGCCUGAUCCAGCAAUGCCGCGUGCAGGAUGAAGGCCUUCGGGUUGUAAACUGCUUUUGUACGGAGCGAAACGGUCUACUCUAAUACAGUGGGCUAAUGACGGUACCGUAAGAAUAAGCACCGGCUAACUACGUGCCAGCAGCCGCGGUAAUACGUAGGGUGCGAGCGUUAAUCGGAAUUACUGGGCGUAAAGCGUGCGCAGGCGGUUAUAUAAGACAGAUGUGAAAUCCCCGGGCUCAACCUGGGACCUGCAUUUGUGACUGUAUAGCUAGAGUGCGGCAGAGGGGGAUGGAAUUCCGCGUGUAGCAGUGAAAUGCGUAGAUAUGCGGAGGAACACCGAUGGCGAAGGCAAUCCCCUGGGCCUGCACUGACGCUCAUGCACGAAAGCGUGGGGAGCAAACAGGAUUAGAUACCCAGGUAGUCCACGCCCUAAACGAUGUCAACUGGUUGUUGGGUCUUCACUGACUCAGUAACGAAGCUAACGCGUGAAGUUGACCGCCUGGGGAGUACGGCCGCAAGGUUGAAACUCAAAGGAUUGACCGGNNGAGACGNGCGAGGCGACGACGAGGGGAGGAGG
rnacentral:rRNA from 1 species